rnacentral:rRNA from 1 species
CUCGCAAGAGUGAACUCAGCUAACUGAAAUCUUAAAAAGAUAAGGUAAGGGAAAUAAUGAUACUACCUUACUAUAGUGUUGUCUAAAUACCUGGUGCCAGAAGACUCGGUAAGGCCAGAAACGCGAACGUUAGUCCUAAUAAACAGGCGUAAAGGGUAUGUAGGCAGCUUCUUAAAAAAAAAUAGAAGAAGAUAGAAUCUAGUAGAGGUCAAUAACAAAUAAUGCUUAGAGUAGGGUUAAAAUCCUUAGAAACUACAGUGGAAUACUAAUGGCGAAGGCAUUUGACCAAUAAAGAUUGACGCUGAAAGACGAAGGUAAGGAGAGGAAAUAGGCUUAGAGACCCAUGAACCCCUUACAGUAAACGAUGAAUGGUGGUGAUCAGUUAUUAACUGGUUUCGAGGCUAACGCGAUGACCAUUCCGCCUUGUGAGUACGAUUCCACAAUUGAAAACAAAAAAAUUAGUCGGUCUCGAAGCAAACGAAGUGAAGCAU